GAUGAACGCUGGCGGCGUGCCUAAUACAUGCAAGUCGAACGAAACUUCUUUAUCACCGAGUGCUUGCACUCACCGAUAAAGAGUUGAGUGGCUAACGGUUGAGUAACCCGUGGGCAACCUGCCCAAAAGAGGGGUAUAACACUUGGACACAGGUGCUAAUACCUCAUAACCAUCGUUACCUCAUGGUAACUAUGUAUAAGGUGGCUAUACUACCGCUUUUGGAUGGGCCCGCGGCGCAUUAGCUAGUUGGUAGGGUAAAGGCUUACCAAGGCAAUGAUGCAGAGCUGGGCGGAGAGGAUGAUAAGCAACACUGGGACUGAGACACGUCCAAGACUACGACGGGAGGAAGAAGUGGGGAAUAGAGGACAAGGGGAGAAAGACGGAACCACCAAUGACGCGGGAGUGAUGAAGGACGUAGGGUGGGAAAGAGACGUUAACCGGGAUGAGAAUGACAGUACCGGGAGAAUAAGAGCAGGCUAACUCCGUG
rnacentral:rRNA from 1 species